rnacentral:rRNA from 1 species
GACGAACGCUGGCGGCGUGCUCAACACAUGCAAGUCGAGCGGUAAAGGCCCUUUCGGGGGUACACGAGCGGCGAACGGGUGAGUAACACGUGGGUGACCUGCCCUCAGCUCUGGGAUAAGCCUGGGAAACCGGGUCUAAUACCGGAUAUGACUCCAUGACGCAUGUUGUGGGGUGGAAAGCCUUGUGCGGCUGAGGAUGGGCCCGCGGCCUAUCAGCUUGUUGGUGGGGUGAGGCCUACCAAGGCGACGACGGGUAGCCGGCCUGAGAGGGCGACCGGCCACACUGGGACUGAGACACGGCCCAGACUCCUACGGGAGGCAGCAGUGGGGAAUCUUGCGCAAUGGGCGAAAAGCCUGACGCAGCGACGCCGCGUGAGGGAUGACGGCC